rnacentral:rRNA from 1 species
GACGAACGCUGGCGGCGUGCUUAACACAUGCAAGUCGAACGGUAAGGCCCUUCGGGGUACACGAGUGGCGAGCGGGUGAGUAACACGUGGGUGAUCUGCCCUGCACUUCGGGAUAAGCCUGGGAAACUGGGUCUAAUACCGGAUAGGACCCUGGGAUGCAUGUCCUGGGGUGGAAAGCUUUUGCGGUGUGGGAUGGGCCCGCGGCCUAUCAGCUUGUUGGUGGGGUGAUGGCCUACCAAGGCGACGACGGGUAGCCGGCCUGAGAGGGUGACCGGCCACACUGGGACUGAGAUACGGCCCAGACUCCUACGGGAGGCAGCAGUGGGGAAUAUUGCACAAUGGGCGCAAGCCUGAUGCAGCGACGCCGCGUGAGGGAUGACGGCCUUCGGGUUGUAAACCUCUUUCAGCACCGACGAAGCGCAAGUGACGGUAGGUGCAGAAGAAGGACCGGCUAACUACGUGCCAGCAGCCGCCGUAA